rnacentral:misc_RNA from 1 species
GAUGAAGAACGUAGCGAAAUGCGAUAAGUAGUGUGAAUUGCAGAAUUCAGUGAAUCAUCGAAUCUUUGAACGCACAUUGCGCCCUUUGGUAUUCCAAAGGGCAUGCCUGUUCGAGCGUCAUUUGUACCCUCAAGCUUUGCUUGGUGUUGGGCGUCUUGUCUCUAGCUUUGCUGGAGACUGGCCUUAAAGUAAUUGGCAGCCGGCCUACUGGUUUCGGAGCGCAGCACAAGUCGCACUCUCUAUCAGCAAAGGUCUAGCAUCCAUUAAGCCUUUUUUUCAACUUUUGACCUCGGAUCAGGUAGGGAUACCCGCUGAACUUAAGCAUAUCAAUAAGCGGAGGA